rnacentral:rRNA from 1 species
GACGAACGCUGGCGGCGUGCUUAACACAUGCAAGUCGAACGGUAAGGCCCUUCGGGGUACACGAGUGGCGAACGGGUGAGUAACACGUGGGUGAUCUGCCCUGCACUUCGGGAUAAGCCUGGGAAACUGGGUCUAAUACCGGAUAGGACCACUGCCUGCAUGGGUGGUGGUGGAAAGCUUUUGCGGUGUGGGAUGGGCCCGCGGCCUAUCAGCUUGUUGGUGGGGUAAUGGCCUACCAAGGCGGCGACGGGUAUCCGGCCUGAGAGGGUGUACGGACACAUUGGGACUGAGAUACGGCCCAGACUCCUACGGGAGGCAGCAGUGGGGAAUAUUGCACAAUGGGCGCAAGCCUGAUGCAGCGACGCCGCGUGGGGGAUGAAGGCCUUCGGGUUGUAAACUCCUUUCGCUAUCGACGAAGCCACUUGUGGUGACGGUAGGUAGAUAAGAAGCACCGGCUAACUACGUGCCAGCCGCCGCCGUAA